GCGUUCUUAGUUCAGUUCGGUAGAACGAUGGUCUCCAAAACCCGACGUCGUAGGUUCAAAUCCUACAGAGCGCG
rnacentral:tRNA from 1 species